AUUCAACUUAUCAUAACGGACUUUUAUUGCCAGGCUCAUGAUCUUUUGGAUACUCUCUUGGCCUUAACGCAGUUGUUUCUGUGUUGCAGAUACUCAACGUGUAUAUUACAAAGUACGAAAGUGGUGGAAAAUACUGGCCUGUCUUUCACAAUACAACAAUCUUUUCACUGAUCUUGACACAGAUUAUUGCUUUGGGGUUUUUCGGAUUAAAGCUAUCAACAGUUGCUUCGGGUUUCACCAUACCGUUAAUUCUUCUCACUCUGCUUUUUAGUGAGUAUUGCCGGCAUAGAUUUGCGCCAAUAUUCCAUAAACAUCCCGCUCAGGUUCUUAUAGACAUGGACAGAGCUGAUGAAAUGGCUGGAAAGAUGGAAGAGUUACACAAAAAGUUGCAUAGUGUAUACUCGCAAAUACCAUUACACCUUCAGAAAUCAUCGAGCAACGAUGAAAGCAGUACUCCUUUCGCAAAUCAGGAGUUACCAGAUCCUGAGAAAUUGAAGCCAGAGGAAGGGGAUGCCGUAGCUAAAGAGUUAUGGGGCUUCCAGGGCAAUGAAUCUGGUCAAGAACAUGACACUAUGUCAUGUCCCAGUGCUUCUUCACCAGAGCAUCUGACCCCAAAGAUGAUCGAACUCCACAAACGGAACAAGAACGUUAAUUUAAUGAUAUGACGUGCUAUUCAAUCACUGGGGCUGCAAUUCAUUAAAGUGGGAUUUAAGCAGAAGAAUUUUCUGUUGAAAAAGCUCAGCUCCAAAAGGAGCAUUUUUCAUUUUCUUUAGUUGAAACUCCUAUAUACUUUGUAGGAAAGUAAAUUGGAGAAAGCAUGUACAGGCUUCUUGCUUAAAGAGUAAGAUGUACAUUUUAUAGUUACUGCAAGAUAGCUGUGCAAAAUGUAUAAGUACUCUACUUUUCUCAACAGAAUAACUAAGAGCAAAAGCGCUUUUCGUAA